GACGAACGCUGUCGGCGUGCUUAACACAUGCAAGUCGAACGGAAAGGCCCUGCUUUUGUGGGGUGCUCGAGUGGCGAACGGGUGAGUAACACGUGAGUAACCUGCCCUUGACUUUGGGAUAACUUCAGGAAACUGGGGCUAAUACCGGAUAGGAGCUCCUGCUGCAUGGUGGGGGUUGGAAAGUUUCGGCGGUUGGGGAUGGACUCGCGGCUUAUCAGCUUGUUGGUGGGGUAGUGGCUUACCAAGGCUUUGACGGGUAGCCGGCCUGAGAGGGUGACCGGCCACAUUGGGACUGAGAUACGGCCCAGACUCCUACGGGAGGCAGCAGUGGGGAAUAUUGCACAAUGGGCGGAAGCCUGAUGCAGCAACGCCGCGUGCGGGAUGACGGCCUUCGGGUUGUAAACCGCUUUCGCCUGUGACGAAGCGUGAGUGACGGUAAUGGGUAAAGAAGCACCGGCUAACUACGUGCCAGCAGCCGCGGUGAUACGUAGGGUGCGAGCGUUGUCCGGAUUUAUUGGGCGUAAAGGGCUCGUAGGUGGUUGAUCGCGUCGGAAGUGUAAUCUUGGGGCUUAACCCUGAGCGUGCUUUCGAUACGGGUUGACUUGAGGAAGGUAGGGGAGAAUGGAAUUCCUGGUGGAGCGGUGGAAUGCGCAGAUAUCAGGAGGAACACCAGUGGCGAAGGCGGUUCUCUGGGCCUUUCCUGACGCUGAGGAGCGAAAGCGUGGGGAGCGAACAGGCUUAGAUACCCUGGUAGUCCACGCUGUAAACGGUGGGUACUAGGUGUGGGGUCCAUUCCACGGGUUCCGUGCCGUAGCUAACGCUUUAAGUACCCCGCCUGGGGAGUACGGCCGCAAGGCUAAAACUCAAAGGAAUUGACGGGGCCCCGCACAAGCGGCGGAGCAUGCGGAUUAAUUCGAUGCAACGCGUAGAACCUUACCUGGGUUUGACAUGGAUCGGGAGUGCUCAGAGAUGGGUGUGCCUCUUUUGGGGUCGGUUCACAGGUGGUGCAUGGCUGUCGUCAGCUCGUGUCGUGAGAUGUUGGGUUAAGUCCCGCAACGAGCGCAACCCUUGUUCACUGUUGCCAGCACGUUAUGGUGGGGACUCAGUGGAGACCGCCGGGGUCAACUCGGAGGAAGGUGGGGAUUACGUCAAGUCAUCAUGCCCCUUAUGUCCAGGGCUUCACGCACGCUACAAUGGCUGGUACAGAGAGUGGCGAGCCUGUGAGGGUGAGCGGAUCUCGGAAAGCCGGUCUCAGUUCGGAUUGGGGUCUGCAACUCGACCUCAUGAAGUCGGAGUCGCUAGUAAUCGCAGAUCAGCAACGCUGCGGUGAAUACGUUCCCGGG
rnacentral:rRNA from 1 species